rnacentral:rRNA from 1 species
AUUGAACGCUGGCGGCAGGCCUAACACAUGCAAGUCGAGCGAGCGGCGGACGGGUGAGUAAUGUCUGGGAAACUGCCUGAUGGAGGGGGAUUACUACUGGAAACGGUAGCUAAUACCGCAUACCAUCAGAUUUGCCCAGAUGGGAUUAGCUAGUGGGUGGGUUAACGGCUCACCUAGGCGACGAUCCCUAGCUGGUCUGAGAGGAUGACCAGCAAUACUGGAACUGAGACACGGUCCAGACUCCUACGGGGGGCAGCAGUGGGGAAUAUUGCAAAAUGGGCGCAAGCCUGAUGCAGCCAUGCCGCGUGGGUGAAGAAGGCCUUCGGGUUGUAAAGCACUUUCAGCGGGGAGGCGUUACCCGCAGAAGAAGCACCGGCUAACUCCGUGCCAGCAGCCGCGGUAAUUC